CCUACGUGAGGCAGCAGUAGGGAAUCUUCCACAAUGGGCGAAAGCCUGAUGGAGCAACGCCACGUGGGUGAAGAAGGUCUUCGGAUCGUAAAACCCUGUUGUUAGAGAAGAAAGUGCGUGAGAGUAACUGUUCACGUUUCGACGGUAUCUAACCAGAAAGCCACGGCUAACUACGUGCCAGCAGCCGCGGUAAUACGUAGGUGGCAAGCGUUAUCCGGAUUUAUUGGGCGUAAAGGGAACGCAGGCGGUCUUUUAAGUCUGAUGUGAAAGCCUUCGGCUUAACCGGAGUAGUGCAUUGGAAACUGGGAGACUUGAGUGCAGAAGAGGAGAGUGGAACUCCAUGUGUAGCGGUGAAAUGCGUAGAUAUAUGGAAGAACACCAGUGGCGAAAGCGGCUCUCUGGUCUGUAACUGACGCUGAGGUUCGAAAGCGUGGGUAGCAAACAGGAUUAGAUACCCUUGUAGUC
rnacentral:rRNA from 1 species